AGGAUAAACGCUGGCGGCGUGCCUAACACAUGCAAGUCGAACGUCCUACGCAAGUAGGGAGUGGCGGACGGGUGAGUAACACGUGGGCAAUCUACCUUUCGGUGAGGAAUACCGGCGAGAAAUCGCCGACAAUACCGCAUACGCUUCGCAAGAAGCAAAGUCGCAAGACGCCGGAGGAGGAGCCUGCGCCCGAUUAGCUGGUUGGUGGAGUAAUGGUCUACCAAGGCGACGAUCGGUAGCUGGUCUGAGAGGAUGAUCAGCCACACUGGGAUUGAGAAACGGCCCAGACUCCUACGGGAGGCAGCAGUGAGGAAUUUUCCGCAAUGGGCGAAAGCCUGACGGAGCGACGCCGCGUGUGGGAAGAAGGCCUUCGGGUCGUAAACCACUGUCGAAGGGGACGAUAAUGACGGUACCCUUGGAGGAAGCCCGGCUAACUACGUGCCAGCAGCCGC
rnacentral:rRNA from 1 species